rnacentral:rRNA from 1 species
UACGUAGGUGGCAAGCGUUGUCCGGAUUUAUUGGGCGUAAAGCGCGCGCAGGCGGUCCUUUAAGUCUGAUGUGAAAGCCCACGGCUCAACCGUGGAGGGUCACUGGAAACUGAGGGACUUGAGUGCAGAAGAGGAAAGCGGAAUUCCACGUGUAGCGGUGAAAUGCGUAGAGAUGUGGAGGAACACCAGUGGCGAAGGCGGCUUUCUGGUCUGUAACUGACGCUGAGGCGCGAAAGCGUGGGGAGCAAACAGG